rnacentral:rRNA from 1 species
GAAGGUGUGCUGUGAGGCAUGCUGGAGGUAUCAGAAGUGCGAAUGCUGACAUAAGUAACGAUAAAGCGGGUGAAAAGCCCGCUCGCCGGAAGACCAAGGGUUCCUGUCCAACGUUAAUCGGGGCAGGGUGAGUCGACCCCUAAGGCGAGGCCGAAAGGCGUAGUCGAUGGGAAACAGGUUAAUAUUCCUGUACUUGGUGUUACUGCGAAGGGGGGACGGAGAAGGCUAUGUUGGCCGGGCGACGGUUGUCCCGGUUUAAGCGUGUAGGCUGGUUUUCCAGGCAAAUCCGGAAAAUCAAGGCUGAGGCGUGAUGACGAGGCACUACGGUGCUGAAGCAACAAAUGCCCUGCUUCCAGGAAAAGCCUCUAAGCAUCAGGUAACAUCAAAUCGUACCCCAAACCGACACAGGUGGUCAGGUAGAGAAUACCAAGGCGCUUGAGAGAACUCGGGUGAAGGAACUAGGCAAAAUGGUGCCGUAACUUCGGGAGAAGGCACGCUGAUAUGUAGGUGAAGUCCCUCGCGGAUGGAGCUGAAAUCAGUCGAAGAUACCAGCUGGCUGCAACUGUUUAUUAAAAACACAGCACUGUGCAAACACGAAAGUGGACGUAUACGGUGUGACGCCUGCCCGGUGCCGGAAGGUUAAUUGAUGGGGUUAGCCGCAAGGCGAAGCUCUUGAUCGAAGCCCCGGUAAACGGCGGCCGUAACUAUAACGGUCCUAAGGUAGCGAAAUUCCUUGUCGGGUAAGUUCCGACCUGCACGAAUGGCGUAAUGAUGGCCAGGCUGUCUCCACCCGAGACUCAGUGAAAUUGAACUCGCUGUGAAGAUGCAGUGUACCCGCGGCAAGACGGAAAGACCCCGUGAACCUUUACUAUAGCUUGACACUGAACAUUGAGCCUUGAUGUGUAGGAUAGGUGGGAGGCUUUGAAGUGUGGACGCCAGUCUGCAUGGAGCCGACCUUGAAAUACCACCCUUUAAUGUUUGAUGUUCUAACGUUGACCCGUAAUCCGGGUUGCGGACAGUGUCUGGUGGGUAGUUUGACUGGGGCGGUCUCCUCCUAAAGAGUAACGGAGGAGCACGAAGGUUGGCUAAUCCUGGUCGGACAUCAGGAGGUUAGUGCAAUGGCAUAAGCCAGCUUGACUGCGAGCGUGACGGCGCGAGCAGGUGCGAAAGCAGGUCAUAGUGAUCCGGUGGUUCUGAAUGGAAGGGCCAUCGCUCAACGGAUAAAAGGUACUCCGGGGAUAACAGGCUGAUACCGCCCAAGAGUUCAUAUCGACGGCGGUGUUUGGCACCUCGAUGUCGGCUCAUCACAUCCUGGGGCUGAAGUAGGUCCCAAGGGUAUGGCUGUUCGCCAUUUAAAGUGGUACGCGAGCUGGGUUUAGAACGUCGUGAGACAGUUCGGUCCCUAUCUGCCGUGGGCGCUGGAGAACUGAGGGGGGCUGCUCCUAGUACGAGAGGACCGGAGUGGACGCAUCACUGGUGUUCGGGUUGUCAUGCCAAUGGCACUGCCCGGUAGCUAAAUGCGGAAGAGAUAAGUGCUGAAAGCAUCUAAGCACGAAACUUGCCCCGAGAUGAGUUCU